rnacentral:rRNA from 1 species
UGGGGAAUAUUGGACAAUGGGCGAAAGCCUGAUCCAGCCAUGCCGCGUGUGUGAAGAAGGCCUUCGGAUUGUAAAGCACUUUAAGUUGGGAGGAAGGGCAGUUACCUAAUACGUGAUUGUCUUGACGUUACCGACAGAAUAAGCACCGGCUAACUCUGUGCCAGCAGCCGCGGUAAUACAGAGGGUGCAAGCGUUAAUCGGAAUUACUGGGCGUAAAGCGCGCGUAGGUGGUUUGUUAAGUUGGAUGUGAAAUCCCCGGGCUCAACCUGGGAACUGCAUUCAAAACUGUCAAGCUAGAGUAUGGUAGAGGGUGGUGGAAUUUCCUGUGUAGCGGUGAAAUGCGUAGAUAUAGGAAGGAACACCAGUGGCGAAGGCGACCACCUGGACUGAUACUGACACUGAGGUGCGAAAAGCGUGGGGAGCAAAACAGGAUUAGAUACCCUGGUAGUCCACGCCGUAAACGAUGUCAACUAGCCGUUGGGAGCCUUGAGCUCUUAGUGGCGCAGCUAACGCAUUAAGCUGACCGCCUGGGG